rnacentral:rRNA from 1 species
UACGUAGGGUGCAAGCGUUAAUCGGAAUUACUGGGCGUAAAGCGUGCGCAGGCGGUUGUGUAAGCCAGAUGUGAAAUCCCCGGGCUUAACCUGGGAAUGGCAUUUGGGACUGCAAGGCUGGAGUUUGGCAGAGGAGACUGGAAUUCCUGGUGUAGCAGUGAAAUGCGUAGAUAUCAGGAGGAAUACCGAUGGCGAAGGCAGGUCUCUGGGCUGAAACUGACGCUCAUGCACGAAAGCGUGGGGAGCAAACAGG